UAUUAGAUACCCUGGUAGUCCCCCGUAAACGAUGAGUGCUAAGUGUUGGGGGUUUCCCCCUUUCAGUGCCGCAGCUAACGCAUUAAGCACUCCGCCUGGGGAGUACGACCGCAAGGUUGAAACUCAAAGGAAUUGACGGGGGCCCGCACAAGCGGUGGAGCAUGUGGUUUAAUUCGAAGCAACGCGAAGAACCUUACCAGGUCUUGACAUCCAUUGACAAUUAGAAGAUUAUCUUUUCCUUCGGAAACGAAAAUGACAGGUGGUGCAUGGUUGUCGUCAGCUCGUGUCGA
rnacentral:rRNA from 1 species